CAGAGUGAACGCUGGCGGCGUGCCUAAUACAUGCAAGUCGAACGAUGAAGCUCUAGCUUGCUAGAGUGGAUUAGUGGCGCACGGGUGAGUAAUGCAUAGAUAACAUGCCCUUUAGUCUAGGAUAGCCAUUGGAAACGAUGAUUAAUACUGGAUACUCCUUACGAGGGAAAGUUUUUCGCUAAAGGAUUGGUCUAUGUCCUAUCAGCUUGUUGGUGAGGUAAUGGCUCACCAAGGCUAUGACGGGUAUCCGGCCUGAGAGGGUGAACGGACACACUGGAACUGAGACACGGUCCAGACUCCUACGGGAGGCAGCAGUAGGGAAUAUUGCUCAAUGGGGGAAACCCUGAAGCAGCAACGCCGCGUGGAGGAUGAAGGUUUUCGGAUUGUAAACUCCUUUUGUUAGAGAAGAUAAUGACGGUAUCUAACGAAUAAGCACCGGCUAACUCCGUGCCAGCAGCCGCGGUAAUACGGAGGGUGCAAGCGUUACUCGGAAUCACUGGGCGUAAAGAGCGCGUAGGCGGGAUAGCAAGUCAGAUGUGAAAUCCUAUGGCUUAACCAUAGAACUGCAUUUGAAACUGUUAUUCUAGAGUAUGGGAGAGGUAGGUGGAAUUCUUGGUGUAGGGGUAAAAUCCGUAGAGAUCAAGAGGAAUACUCAUUGCGAAGGCGACCUGCUAGAACAUAACUGACGCUGAUGCGCGAAAGCGUGGGGAGCAAACAGGAUUAGAUACCCUGGUAGUCCACGCCCUAAACGAUGAAUGCUAGUUGUUGUGGAGCUUGUCUCUGCAGUAAUGCAGCUAACGCAUUAAGCAUUCCGCCUGGGGAGUACGGUCGCAAGAUUAAAACUCAAAGGAAUAGACGGGGACCCGCACAAGCGGUGGAGCAUGUGGUUUAAUUCGAAGAUACACGAAGAACCUUACCUAGGCUUGACAUUGAUAGAAUCCGCUAGAGAUAGUGGAGUGCUAGCUUGCUAGAACUUGAAAACAGGUGCUGCACGGCUGUCGUCAGCUCGUGUCGUGAGAUGUUGGGUUAAGUCCCGCAACGAGCGCAACCCUCGUCCUUAGUUGCUAACUAUUCGGUAGAGCACUCUAAGGAGACUGCCUUCGCAAGGAGGAGGAAGGUGAGGAUGACGUCAAGUCAUCAUGGCCCUUACGCCUAGGGCUACACACGUGCUACAAUGGGAAGCACAAAGAGAUGCAAUAUUGUGAAAUGGAGCAAAUCUAUAAAACUUCUCUCAGUUCGGAUUGUAGUCUGCAACUCGACUACAUGAAGCUGGAAUCAAUAGUAAUCGUAAAUCAGCUAUGUUACGGUGAA
rnacentral:rRNA from 1 species